rnacentral:rRNA from 1 species
GAUGAACGCUGGCGGUGUGCCUAAUACAUGCAAGUCGAGCGAACAGACGAGGAGCUUGCUCCUCUGACGUUAGCGGCGGACGGGUGAGUAACACGUGGAUAACCUACCUAUAAGACUGGGAUAACUUCGGGAAACCGGAGCUAAUACCGGAUAACAUGUUGCACCGCAUGGUUCAACAGUGAAAGACGGUCUUGCUGUCACUUAUAGAUGGAUCUGCGUCGCAUUGGCUAGUUGGUAAGUUAACGGCUUACCACGGCAACGAUGCGUAGCCGACCUGAUAGGGUGAUCGGCCACAUUGGAGGGGGGACGGGGUCCAGACGCCUAAGGUAGGCAGCAGUCGGGAAUCGUACGCAGUGGGCGGAAGCCUGACGGGGUAAGGGCACGUGAGUGAAGAAGGCCCUCGGAGCGGAAAACCCUCUUAUUAGUGAAGAACAAAUGUGUAAGGAACUGUGGACGUCUUGACGGUACCUAAUCAGAAAGCCACGGCUAACUACGUG